GAUGAACGCUAGCGGCAGGCUUAAUACAUGCAAGUCGUGGGGCAGCAGGUUUGUAGCAAUACAGAUGCUGGCGACCGGCAAACGGGUGCGGAACACGUACAGAACCUUCCUUUGAGCGGGGAAUAGCCCAGAGAAAUUUGGAUUAAUACCCCAUAGUAUAAUGAAGUGGCAUCACUUUAUUAUUAAAGAUUUAUCACUCGAAGAUGGCUGUGCGGCUGAUUAGGUAGUUGGCGGGGUAACGGCCCACCAAGGCUUCGAUCGAUAGGGGGUGUGAGAGCAUGACCCCCCACACGGGUACUGAGACACGGACCCGACUCCUACGGGAGGCAGCAGUAAGGAAUAUUGGACAAUGGGCGGAAGCCUGAUCCAGCCAUGCCGCGUGAAGGACGAAGGCGCUCAGCGUUGUAAACUUCUUUUGGAUGGGAACAAUAACUCCGACUUGUCGGAACUUGAGGGUACCAUCAGAAUAAGCACCGGCUAAACUCCGUGCCAGCAGCCGACGG
rnacentral:rRNA from 1 species